GAAAACAAAAUGAUGAGCACCCAUAUACAUCCUGUUUUAUCAAAAUUAACAUUAUAACAUUUGCUUUAGAUUUCAAUAAGCUGUUUUGAGGACGUUUAUAUACCUCCAUGAUUCUAUUACCCCUAUACCCUGCCUAGAGGUAACCAUCAACAUAAAAUUCAGUAUUCAUCAUUGCACUGCAUACUUGAUUCUGGAAACUUGCAGUAUUGUGGGAGUUUUAAAUUUUUCUAUACAAAGACUUACAUUCUCUGUAUCAUUCUUGCAUUAGUAAUUUAUUUUAACUGCUCUGUUUGUUUUUCAAAACUUUUAAAAAUCCUGACCAUUUGUUGCAAAUUAAUACCUUCAAUUUAUCAAUGCCUGUUGAGUACUUUUAUAUAAAAACACUAUACAUUUAGUCUAUGGGCAUAUAAAGAUGAAUGAACUUAGGGUUUUGUUUUUUUUUUAUUCAAGGAGUUUAUCUUAAAAGAUCUGAAAACAUUUAUUGUCUAACACUUAAUAUUUUGUAUCCUUUGAAUACUUUUCAAAAUAUCAAAGACUAUGAAAGUUUCAUAGGAAUUAAAUUUCAUUGUUCAAUAGGACUAUAUAGUCAUCUUUGACCCUAUAAAGAUGUAUUUUAAAUAUUUCAUAGGAAAAUACUGGGUGGAGGUUAAGCGUGGUCCAUUUUUGCUAGUGUUACAGAAGUUGUGAUAUUAUUGUGGUGUUAUUUAGGAAAUGUCUAAAAUGAGAAUCUCAAGAUAAAAACUAAAGGUACUAUCUAGGAUAGGAUAUGUGAAGAGUUGAACAUUGAAAAAAAUCUUUGGCUAACAAGAAUUCAUUCGUAAUAGGUGAUCAAAUUACUCAGUUUUGCCAAAAUUUAACUUUUAAUGAUUUGACAUUUUGAUGGAUUAAUUUCUAUGGACAUUAGCCAUUUUUUCUGUCUCAUCUAUAGCUACGUGUGCAUUGUACUGUAUUUACUGUUUUCUAUGGUCAUGUCAUCAUUUUGAAGUUCCUGCUCUCCAACACACACUUACUUGAUACUGCUUUUGUCAAUGAUCUUGAUCUUAAUUUUAACACUGAAAUCAAAACUCAAUGUGUAAGGGAAAAAGUAGUUCAUUUUUUCCAGGCAUAUUCCACUGUUAUAUCUUUAUUUGAAUGCUUUCCUUUUGUAAACUGCAGAACUGCUAAUGCAAGCCCUUAGAGAUGUGAGAGUUACAUAUAACCUAACCAGAAUAUAAACUGUACAGUUUUAG
rnacentral:lncRNA from 1 species